GCGAGGCUGCCCGGUGCGUCAGGCACGUUCAUCCCCGGGGCCAAUAAGUACUCCCAGGGAGCUGGCUCUGUCGGAACCGUGGUUCCGGUAUUUCCGGCGCCCACCUGCUCUGCAGGCCUUGGGAGGAUGACAUCGUCAACGGCCAGGGCGGCUUCGCA
rnacentral:other from 1 species